UCUCCUUAUCAACUCUCAACUUUCAGCUCUCUCUCUCUCUCUCAAAGCCCUAAACGCCGAAUCGCCUCCUCCGGAUCUCAAUCAACCUGUGCGACAACCUUCAAUCCAUCUUAAACCCUGUCUCCCGCGAUUGCAAUCAUCUCAAUCAAGAUCUUUCAAAAUUCAAUCCAUCACUUAUGUCUCUCUCUCUCAUCCAGAUCUUUCAGCGAUGAAGAUGGACCGAUAAUCCUUAGUAUCUACAAUUCCGUAUCUUCAAGGAUUUGUGAGAGGGAGAUUUUAAAAAUAACAACUCAGAAUGAUUUUGUCAUCAUCGCCAAAAUCGCCGUCUUGGUUGAUGUCUGGGAACAAAUUUUGAUUUUCAAUUUUAGUCAGAAAGAAGGUAAUGAAAAGGAGCAAGAAGGGUUGGGAAGAUGAACAUAUUUGAAGAAACCCCCAAUUUUCUUUUCGAUUUCACUACUGCUGAAAUCGAAAAUUACUACCGUUGGAAUAUUUGUUUUCAUGAUUUAAUCCUUUUUACAAAAUAUCUCAAUCUCCGCGUCCAACUCAUCGUUCUAUGUCACCAACUCGAGGCACACGCUCCAGAUCGGUUAGCAAAUCCUUUUCUAAUUCCAGAAGUCAUUCAAGGUGUACUCUAUGGAAUGCGGAGUAUAGAAUCAUGUUAAUGAGGAACUUUGAAAUUUCUCCUUCUAAUGAUUCGAAAAGGCUAAAUCCUGGUGAGGAUAACGAACCUUCAGAGGAGAAGGUCGAGAAAGGUUAAUGUUCGUGUGACAAUGUCAUGAUGGAGUGUUGUACAGAAGAAUCAGAGAGAUUAUCGCUUCCAGUUUGUCCGCUUGAGUCGAAGAGAAGGACAAGAGACUUCCAAAUUCUCGGUACAUGGUUCAAGCCAUGGGAACUGGAUCUGGGCUCGGUAAGUCCAGUGAUUGGAAGUUUGUGAUUUUCUGAAUAACAAUGUUGUGCCCAAAACUGGAGGCCAUACUACAAAUACCAUGGAACGACCAACCUGUCAAAUGCACAAACCUCAAGGGGUCUUGGUUGCAUGGUGCUUUGCAGUUUUAUAUCAAGCUAAUUCUGUUGUUUGAACUACUGGUAUGGCAAAAUUCCAGGUUUCGAAAGUGAAACAAGUUACAAGAAACGUGUCAAUUUUUAGUGCUCGGCGACUACUGACUGAAACAUGGCGGGUCGAGUGGGUGGACUUGCAUGCAUGCAUGUUCUUAUUCAUUUUUCAAAAUUUAUUUUAUCGAUAGUUAUAAUUACAGAAACAAUUUUAUUUCAGUAGUAAUUAAUAUGCAGCUAAUGUGCUUUGAUGGACAACACAAGUUACGAGUUAUUACAAUUACUAGAUGAUGUGUAGAGAAUGCCACGGUAUCAAAGGUAAAAUAGUGAAGUCUUAAUCUAUUCAACUAUUUAUUUGUUCACUUAGAAUAGUAAAACCUUAAUUUAUUCAACUAUUUAUUGGUUCACUUAGAAUAGUUCUACAUAAAUCAUGAACAUCAUAUAUUUCUUUAUAUAGUAUUCUAAUAAGAUGUAAACAGUACUAUAAUUAAAAAAGCGCGCCUCAGGGGAAGGCCGUAGUGUGGGUGUAGAAAUUGCUUCACAACAUCAGAAGCGUAGCGAUCAUAUGAAGCCAUGGUGACUCUGGCUCUUUUUUUUUGUUUUUGCAUAAGGCGCCAUUUUGGGUUGCGAAAAGUCGCUUUCUGACUUCCUGUAUAAGCCGAGCUAGGUUGAGUCGGGCAAGAGUGGAGGCAGGUUGACUGGGGCAAGAAAGAAACAAAGAAAUGAUAAAAUGGCUUUCUAAUUCAUUAGGCCGAAGGACGAGAGAGAGAGAAAGAAGUUUGGAGUACAUGUUUGUGUGGGGCUGGUUUUUAAACUGAAUUAAGACAUGCAUUUAUCUAUGGUUUACUAUUAACCCAUGUGAAAAGUUAUUCUUUUAAUUUAUAUGAAAUUCCAACUAAUAUAUUAUUUAUAUAAUCAUUGCCAUGCGUUUUAAUAUCUUUGGUUUUAAACUUUAUCCAUACUAACAUUUACCUCUUUUAUGGUGAUAAUUUGACCAACGGAGCACAGGUAUUAAAACCCCUUUUAACUAACGUGUCUACUAUUCUAUUCUAAACACACACAAAGAGAAAGAGAAAGACAUGUUUCCACGACACAAUGCGGUAUAUGAUUGUCUUACUGAGAUGUCUAGAUAGUUCAAUCUUCAUACUGAGUUAUGUGUUUUUGUAGUGGUUUCUAUUGUGUUAUGUAAUGUUUUUUUUAGAGCCUAAAUUAUCUUUCGAUGGAUUAACUUGCUUCACAACUGAAUAUUGUUUCUGUUUUGUAAUUAGAGACACAAUUUGUUGAGAAUUUUGGGGUAAACGACAACAGCAAUUGGCCGAUUGAGACACUGUUUCCAACCAGAUUGGUCAUUGGGCAAGGUUACAGGUGGUGGUGUCGGCUUCCGGCUAAAAACCGUUAAUCCAGAGACCGCGUAAAAACACACACGUCAAGUCGCGAAUCAGGUUUGAUGGCGAUGAAAUCAGUGGAUUCGUCAAAACUAAAAACAAAUUCAAAAUAUUACCUAGGUUUAUUUUUUUGUAUGAUUUUGAAGGAAUUUUGAAAAUCAGCGGGUUCAUUUGUCACUAUUAUAUUACCCAGAAUCAAGAUGGAUUUAUGUGUUCUGCACAAUGAAUGAGUUUAAUAAUGGCGUCAACAUCAAACAAAAAGAACUGGGUUUCUUUUUAUCAAAAUCGACGAAUCUAAACACUCUUAAGAAACGUUGCCGCUUCGCUUACUUAAGAUGCGAUUUGAACGAGAAUCAAAGCAAGACUAUUGAAGGCGAUGAUGAACAGUCAAAUAAGGGGUUGCAAUCGAAAUCAGGAUUUUUGAAAAUCAGUACCCUCUUCUGAGCAACGAAGGGAUUACAUCCGGCCAACCGCGGAAUAAUAAGGUUACGGCGUUAAAGAACUUAGCGCGACAACAGUAACAAACAACAAUAACGGACAACGACAAUUGUGCGAGCGUCCGCGACGGUUUAAAUGAAGUAUUUUACUAUUCUUUAAUUUUGUAGGUUUUGAUCUUAUAUAAAUUGUUUGCAUUCAUCCGUUUGAUACCAUUUUAUGUUUUGAUCUCUACGUGUUUUGUGAUUCACUUUGAAUUUGUGGUAUUUCUAUUAAGAUCGUGGUCGCAAGUUUCUAAUUA